rnacentral:rRNA from 1 species
AAUCAACGCUGGCGGCGUGCCUAACACAUGCAAGUCGAACGCGAAAGCCCCGCAAGGGGUGAGUAGAGUGGCAAACGGGUGAGUAACACGUGGGUGAUCUGCCUCAGAGUGGGGGAUAACGACCCGAAAGGGUCGCUAAUACCGCAUAACAUCCUGCCUUUGGAUAGGUGGCGAUCAAAGUUGGGGAUCCGCAAGGACCUGACGCUUGGAGAGGAGCCCGCGGCCGAUUAGCAGUUGGUGAGGUAACGGCUCACCAAGGCAACGAUCGGUAUCCGGCCUGAGAGGGCGGACGGACACACUGGGACUGAGACACGGCCCAGACUCCUACGGGAGGCAGCAGUGGGAAUUGUUCGCAAUGGGCGCAAGCCUGACGACGCAACGCCGCGUGGAGG